rnacentral:lncRNA from 1 species
UCCUAACAUGCAAGUAGAGAAAAGCAAUAUUGCAGCAAUAUUUAAGCUUCAUAAGCUUAAAUGGGUAAAAUUGUGUAAUGAGAAAAAAAAUAAUGUCUAGUGUUAGAGGAAAUAGUUAUAAUCUUAUAUCAGUCUCAUCUGUUUUUGUGUGUGUGUGUGUUUGUUGGAGAAAAUGAUUCAUAGCUCACCUGCAAUCUUAAUACUCUUUAGUCCGAGCAAGAAGCUUGAAAGAGAAGUAAUAGAAAAUGUUUUUAAAGUUGAAUUAUUUGCAAUACCUAACAAGUAUAUCCGUUCUCGUUAAUACUCAUGUCAGGCAAAAAUUACCUAAUAGACUAAGUGCAAAAAUAUCUAUAGUAUGAUAUCUUGGCACAGCAUUUAAGUGGAUAGACCUGAGCUGCAUUCUUAUUACAGGUCUGAAUGUUUAGAAAGAAAAGAAAAAAUGAGGUUUAUGGAGAACUAAUGUUGGUAGAGUCUUGUGUACAGCAUAUUCAUUGAGUGCUAGCUCUAUUCUCCAGGAGCCUGUUGUCUAAAAGUGGCCUGCUGUACCACCUAUUACACAUGCAAUUUGUAAUGCAUUAAUUUGGAGCUUCUGAUAAUUCAAACAGGAUUAGCUACCUAUCAAACCCCCCUUUUUCAUCCUAAAUUGGUAGAAGAUAGCAAAGGAAAAUUUAAAAUAUUUCAAAAAGACUUUUGAAUAUGGUAUAAAUAUAAUUUAUGUUAAAUAUAUUUAAAAGCAAUUAAAUAUUUGACUAUGUAUUACUAUAUAUGUACAUGUAAUGGUGAUGUAUGUAUUUUCCAUUCUUUACUAUAAAAUGUUAAUAUGUUAAGGCAGUUUAACUUAAUUAAUAGUUAAACUAUCAUAUAUUUAAAUACUCUGGAAUACUUACCCUUUGCAAAUGGAAGCUGCUCCUUGUCCUUAAUAACACUUUCUCUAUAAGCUCUCUUAUAUGACCUCUACUUUGCUUUCUUACGGGAUUGACCACGCCUCUAUGAAACAUACUAAUGAAUGCCCAUGGCAUGCCCAUGCUCCCACCUAGUAAUUUGCUACCUUCUCCUAACCCGCAUACUUCUGCUUCUGCCAGUUGAGUUGUAUGCUUACCAGGAUUCAGUUAUAGUUGUUUCCAAACUUAUUAUAUCAGUCAUACUGUUAAUAUUAGGUAAUUAAAUGUCACAUAAUCUCAUAAAUAUGAGUAUCAAAGAGUUGUUUUGCCUUUGAAAAUUAAGCUGAAUACUUUGAGAGGACUUUAAGCAAAUUGCUUUUAAAAAAAGGUUUCAAGUAUGGGAAAGAAAACUGGAAAAUAUUGGAAAGUGUAUGGGCUUUGUGAAGUUUUUGCUCAGAUUGUCCCUACUGCCUUUUGGUUCUCACUCCACUUUAAAAAAGCUUAAAUUGGAAAUGAUUCAUUGUGAAUGCUGUUCAUUCAAGAAAGAUCAUCAAGAAGGAUCACUUGACUCUUGUAAACGGACCUAUACUCAAAAGGCUUUGGCACACUGUCAAGAUAUUAGUAUACAAAUGUGCAUUUGUGUUUAAGUUAAAAUGAGGUAUGAAGGGUAAAAUGCAAAAUAAGUAUAUAUUUUCUAUAAGUUCCCUGCUAUAAAUUACUUUCAAUGAACUGAAAACUACCUUUCUUUCCUUUUUUAAAAAAAUUU